GAGAUUUCAUUCGCACUAGUGAUAGCUAGUUUCCCCGGAAAGACAUAAAAGUGUCGGGAAAAAUAUAAUUUAUAAUAUGGGUUAUUUUAUAUAUACAUGUAUUUUACUAAGUUUUUUGAGGAUAAGCUCAAAAAAAAGUUAAGAGUUUUUUUAAUCAACUUUGUUGUAUAGGCUUAAAAUUGGUCAUUACAAAAGUUUUUUAUAAAAUAACGAUUUCCGUUUCGUAAAUAAAUAUAAUUUAGACUAACUUUAUACGGGGAUAAGAACUUUAAUUUAAAAUAAGUUCUAUGCCUAUGCUAGAAUGAGUAUUAAAAUUUAAUUAUGAAGGAGGUUAGUCAUAUCCUCUUAAAAAAAAAUAAAAAAAAUAAAUUAAUUAGAAGGAACUCGGCAAAUUUGGUUGUUUHGCCUGUUUAUCAAAAACAUGGCUCUUUGAUUAUAUAAGUAUAGAGAGUCGGGCCUGCCC
rnacentral:rRNA from 1 species